CUCCCCGCGAGUCUUCCCCUGGUGAAUGCAAGCGAGCCAGCUGCUGCCUGAACUCCGGUGCGCCGGGUUUUCAGAGCUGCCACAAGCGCGAGGAGGGAGGGGGGCACACAGCAGCCACAGAGCACUGGGUUCAUAACUAGGAUUGGUCGCAAGUAGGGAGCUUUUGCCACUCCGCUGGGACCCUGGGACGCUGGCGGCAUCGUGCGCUGGGUUCUCCUAAGAGCUGCUUUGGGUGCCUCGGAUUCAUUUGGCAUUGUAGAAUUUUCUAACUGAGGAAAUUCCGCUAGAGCUCACUUGGGAAUUUCUGCAGUUUGGUGUCAGAGAAUCAAAUUCUUCAGACUGAGCUAAAGGAAACACUCCAUGUGGGUUCUGAUUGAAAACAAAGGGGAUUAUUGACACAUAGUAUCUCCACAGCAUGUGGCUCUCAGAGCUGCCCUAAAAGUAAAUUGAUUGACAGAACCUGACUAAAUCAAGAGACCAAAGAUAAACAGGAGAGUUUGUUUAUAUGGUGGAUUUUCAUAUAUUGAACCAACCCUGUAUCUCUGGGAUGAAGACUACUUGAUCAUGGUGGAUGAUUUUUUUUAUAUAAUCUUGGAUUCAGUUUGCCAGUAUUUUACUGAGCAUUUUUCAUCAAUGUUCAUGAGGAAAAUUGGUGACAACAGAAAUUAGAUCUGCACAUUCAUUUCUUCAGAAAAGUUAGACUGAAGAAGAAAAAAAAAAAAGAUGCAAGCUGCUUCCUGCUGUGAGACAGCUUUAGUCUCCUGAAUUUUUGGUGCAGUUGUUAUAAAACAGAGGAAAAUCGAUCAUGUGUUCUUUGGAGAGAAACAACUCAAACUCAUCAUGUCCUUCAAAAGCAUCAUAAAAUUCUGUGAAUCAGCAGCUCAUUUUACGCAUAAUAGUAUUCAUUGUAUUUACUGUCAACACUGGUUUAAUUUUUACCUUGUUGUUGUUUAUCAGCUCAAUUCAUGUUUCCUGUGUUGUUGCAACUUCUUGGCCUUUCUGGGGGUGGGGGUGAUACUCGGGAGUUUCAUAUAUUUUCAGAACCAUUCUUACGAGCUUGGGGAGAUUCUUCAGUGGAUAAAGCCUUUGCGUAUGUAUGAGAACCUGUCUUCUGACUACAUGGAACCCACAUCAAUGCCAGGGAGGUGGGUGGCCCACCUAUAAUUUCCACCUCAGAAGAAAGAGGCAGGAAUUUCCCAGAGCAAGCUGUCUAACAAGACUAUAUUUGACUGAAAGACAGUAAGUUCAUCACCAAAUAAAGGGAAAGAUGUAUAGAAGAAGAGUUUCAAUGUCAACCCUGUGUCUCCACAUGCAUGUGUGUGUGCCUAUAGACAACUAUGUCC
rnacentral:lncRNA from 1 species